UGGUAUCAAGAAAUUGCAAAUAAUGCUUACAAUUGUGGAUGACUUGGUGUCUGUUGACACCCUCAUUGAGGAACACCUGCUGGAAGAACCAAUUAAUGAAUAUGUCCAGAGCUGUGAUAUUGUAGCCUUCAACAAAAUCUGUAAGUAUCAGUAUCUAGUCUUUAUAUUCCACAACCUUUUACAAGUUAUCAAGUCCUCAACUUAUUGCAUUGCAUCAUUUUUUCCCCAUGAAAUUCCUGAAGAGCUAUAUUACCACUGACUAUGUGAACUUAUGCAUUGUCUUUGUCUUCUCGUUGCAGAAUUUGUGGAUCCUUUGGCAAAG
rnacentral:lncRNA from 1 species